UUGCCUGUGGAAUAGCCUUACUUCCCGAAGUCUCACACGUUCCCUCAAAGGCUCACCAAGGAUUUGUUGCUGCUUUGCCAAAAGUUCCAGCCGGUUUCCUGUUACCUGGGCUUAUCUCAACUCACCAUUACAAGUAAGAUAGCUACAGAGGGAGCGUGCUAUAGCUCUAUAGGCAAGACUGCUCUUCAGUGCUGCCCUGGACGUGUUUGUGUCUGUGGAGCGGAUGUCUCCAUUUCUGCAGGCUGCAGAAUUCUUUCCACAGAGAGUCAGCCCACAGCACUCCUUCCCUGCCUGGCAAAUCUGACGGAGGCCUCCCACCUACCCCCAGACAAUCAGAGACCUUGAAGGGGUGGCUCAGAUCCUGGUUACUGAGGAUGGCUCUUCUACCACGCUGCGG